CUCUACUCAAUCUCCCCUUUCCUCUGCUUUCAUAUGCUUUUUUAAUUAAAGGUAAAGUGACUGUUCAGGACCGGCCCUCACCUGCUCUCAGGACCCAUUUCUGUUCUGCAUGGGCCCGCUCAGCUGGACAUUUUAUACACUCAAAGGAGGCCCUGUUACCUGAAGGUACAGACACUCAUACUGACAGACUCUGCCAUCGCUGGAGUAUCCACCCUGGACGUUAAGGACCCCAUAUGAGGGUGAUGCUCUCUGCACACUCCGAUUGAGGAUUUGAAGAAUCUGGUGGACGGUGCAUGUUGGGAGGGGUAAGAGUGGGGUAAGGGGGUUCUGGAGGGAGAGGAAUUGUCCCUUGUGCUCUCUGACUUGGGCUGAAAUCCAGAGAGAAAGCAAAGAAUCCUUCCAUCCCAGAGCUAUUUCCUCCCAUCAUCGCCUGCCAUCAUUUAUCAGAGCCAAACAGGUUGGUCUCUUUCUUCCUUUAACUAUGAAAUGGUUCAAAGACAGUGCAGGGGGACCAUAUCAUCUAGAUCAUUCGCAAGUGGGGCACAUUUCUCUCUCAUGAUCGAGAACCAUGAGUACUUACGAAGAAGGCUGAUGGGAGAGGAUGGGCCAGCCUCCUUCCUCCCGGUACCCAGAUCCCUGCCCCCAGCACACCCUGUGUUCGCCCUGAGCAAGGAAAGUGGGGCUCUGCCUCAGCAAUAGCUGGAACCCCGAGCCCUUGUUGAAGAGCCUUUUUGAGAUGCCCAAUGCCCGGGUGGUUGGACGGGGGUGGGGAGCCACGUUACAAGCUGCUGCCUCCCUGCUUCGGGCCAGAACAAGCUCCAGGAAGAAAGUAUUCCAAACAACAGGGUGGAUCUGCCCUAACUCACCCAGUCUGCAAGUCAGUGCUGAGAACAGCCUUUUAUGGGGCUUACACUGAGCCCAGGGCACGUCUGAACACAGCGAGGAAGGGGUGGGGCAGUAACUACACAGCAACGGGUGGAUGGCAUUUCUUUUUAGGAGGACAGAGAGCUCUCAGAGGGUUUCCAUCCUCUCUGUUUAUCGGUCUCUGAAACCCAGGUUAUGGUCUCCCUCUCCACAUUCCACUUCCCCAAGCCUGGAGAAGAUGUAGUGGUGCUAUUUCCAGGCAGGUUUGGGAAAGCAUGGGGGGCCCCUGGUAAGUGGCCGUCCUAGAUGAGUCUGUAGGAGUGAGAGCAAGAAGCCUCACCCUCAUGUGCCCUCCUCCCCCAGCCCCGUCAAGGGCGCCUGGCCCCGGCCGGCCGUUCUUCCUCCCAUUUCGCACCCGCAAACGGGCCUGCCAAGUGCUGCUCACGCUUUCUGGACAGUGUGUUCUGGAGAGGAACGCCCCCACCCCUGCCUUCCACCACCUUGGUAGGCAAGUGCACAGUAGAUGGAUUCUUCUAAAGCAAUUUCAGAACACCUGCCUUCUGCAGCCAGGACCAAGCUCAGUUAUGGCACACGCAGGGCGACACAGACCAAAGGGGAGGACGACCAGCGUCCAGCUAGGUAAACGCAGAGAAGUUUCCACACGGACUGGUGUGGAACGGCUGCUUCCAGGGCAAGAAACGGCAAGGGUCCCAGUCCCGCAGGCCAUCCCCACCACUCAGCAUCUUCGGUGCUGCAGACACAGGGGGGCCUUGGUGAGCUGGAUCUCUGCAGCUCCUGGGAGGAAGUGAUCCUGGGGAAGAUGUGAGUACUCAGAUCUCCCACACCUCCCAAGUCUGUGAUUCAAAGAUCCUGAAGGCUUUCGGCCAGGCAACAACCCUGCGUGCAGAGGCCGGGGUUGCCACGUGGCCCACCCUCUGAGAAAAAGACCUCAAACAGUCCAUGUGUUUCUCUUGUCCUUCAUUCCACCGGAGUCUGUCUCAUACCCAACCAGAUUUCAGUGGAGUGAAGUUCAGGAGGCGUGGAGCUGACACCAGAGCAGCUGCAACAGUAGCUCUGACUUGGAAAAGGAAAGGCCCAGUGAGAGGUGUGAGAGAUGCAGACAUCUGCUGUGCGUAUCCUUCCGCAGAUGGGAUGGGCGAUGGGCAGAUUGGCAAAAGCACCACAGAUGGGAUCUGCUUAUUCUUUCUAAAAUGGAUGCUAUGGACGUGUGUGUUUUCUGUAACUCAUAAAAAUUAAAAGUUUUCUGUC